rnacentral:lncRNA from 1 species
AUAAAUAAAAAAUAAAUAAAAAGGGAGAGAUGGGUGAAUGCCCAAAAGAGAGAGAGAAGGCAGGUUGCAUGUAUCUGCAACCUGGGGAAGUUCAAACAAAAAAAAGGAAAAAAAAAACCUUGGGAAGUGGGAGAGGGAGGCAGGGAAACGUGAAAGUAAUUGGGAAGUGGAAAAUAUGACUUAAUUACUUAAUAUAAUUUAUUUCUUUUCUAUUUAAUUCAUUUAAUGUUAUUGAUUAUUUUAUUAUUCAUUAUAAGUACUUACGUUACUAAAUUCUCCUUCAAAUUGUUGCUUAAUUACUUAAAUCUUUAUAAUCAUUUUCAUUAUUUGCUAUUUAAUUCUUCCUUGGAUAAAUUUAUUUAUGUUCUUAGUUAAUUUUCAAUCUUCACUAUUAUUUUUUAAGCAUGGUAAAGUGCCUAAUUUUCAUGAAAAAUCAAAUUGGUUUACAUCUUUAACUAUUUUUCAAUUUUUG